rnacentral:lncRNA from 1 species
GUCUUUUUGUCUUUUUUAGGGCCGCACCCAAGGCAUAGGAAGUUCCCAGGCUAGGGGUCGAAUCAGAGCUACAACUGCCGGCCUACACCACAGCUACAGCCACACCAGAUCUGAGCCACAGCUGCAGCCUACACCACAGCUCACAGCAAUGCCGGAUCCUUAACCCACUGAGCAAGGCUAGGGAUCAAACUGGCAACCUCAUGGUUCCUAGUCAGAUUCGUUUCCAUUGUGCCACAACAGGAACUCCUGUUUGUAUUUACUAUUAACUAAAGUAUUAUGAAAACAGGUGAUCUGGUCUGUGCCUUUCUUUUUUCCUCCUUGCACAUUUCUCUUUCUUGGGUAAAGUAACAAAGCAGAGGCUGAAUCUGUGGAUAUGUGAGUAUGUAUCAUGCUCCUUACAUUUGUUUGUCUUCCCUUGAGUGAAGAAGGUAUUAAUGUGACACAUUUAGUUCAGAUGAGUAAACUCCAUUCAUGUUCUCCUAAUAUGUUUUAUGAACUGCCCACAAAGAAGGACAGUUAAUAACAAUGACUAGUGCCUAUUGUGAAUGCUUUAGCAGAAAGACCUGGAAAGACCUGGACUUUAGGUCAAAUAGACUUGAUUCAAAUGCAUCUCCCUGUCUGCAGACGCUCAUUUGUAAAACAAAGAUAGUAAGACCUACUUUGCAGAGUUGCUGCGAAGAUACAAUAAAAUAAUUCAUGCAAAGUGCUUCGUGUGGUGCUUGGAACACAGUUAAACUUAAUGGCAACUAUUUUUAUCACUGAGAAAAAGCAUUUCUAAGUCACUAAGGAAUGUACAACAUCAUUAAUUAGAAGGAAGGCAUAGUCAGUAGGUGUCAGAGACAUCCAAAUGCUUCCUGUGUCGUGCCCAAAUAAGAUGCUGGGAGUCCCAUCUUUUAGGAGUAAGAGAUGACAUGGGUACACUCGAGGUUAAAAAUCACAAGUUGCCCAAAUAAUCCUCAAAUAUCCCUUAGGAAAGUACACUUGAUUCUUAUUAUUUGCAGUAGUUACAUUUUACAAAGUCAUUGCAAACAAUGAAUUAACGAAUACUGAACCAUUGCUCAUAGGAGAAAUGUAGGGUUAGGUUCCUGUGAGCUUCUAGUCACAUUCUUGUCAACUGAUCAACACAUAACUUUGUUUUCUGUAUGUUUCUGUGUGUUUCUUAUUCAAUAUAUAUUAUUGAUUCAUAAAUACUGAACUCAUAGCAAUAGCACUUCAACUCAUGCCUGAACAAGGUUUAUCUAAUGCCCAUAUUUUCUCCAUAAGUUACAUUACAGCCUUCUUGCACAUAAUAAUACUGGCCAGCACUUCAACACUGUGCUUGGAGGCCAUUUUAAACAUCACAAUCAAGAACAAAAAGCACAAAAAUGCAGAGUUCCCAUCCUGGUGCAGCAGAAAUGAAUCCAAAAGAACCAUGAGGUUGCAGAUUUGAUCCUUGGCCUUGCUCAGUGGGUUAAGGAUCCAGCAUUGCUGUGAGCUGUGGUGUAAGUUGAAUAUGCGGCUCAGAUCUGGCGUUGCUGUGGCUCUGGUAUAGACCGGCAACUACAGCUCCCAAAGGACCCCUAGUCUGGGAGUUCCAUAUGCCGCAGGUGUUCCUCUAAAAGGGCAAAAAAGGCAAAAAAAACAAAAAACACACAAAAAUGCAAAAACAUGGCACUAAAAUGAGCACAAAGGAACCCUUUUCCUUAGCAGAAAUAAGGAUGCAGAGUUGUGUUGUUCCACCAGCUGGGAAACUCAUGCACUGGGCAACUCAAAGUUUUGCCACUCUGCUAUGUCUGUGAAUGAGCAUGGAAACACCACAAAUACUGAUUUUGUGGGUACAAAUAAAUUUAACAAGUGGAUGAAUUCACAAAUAUAGAAUCCAUGAAUAAGGAUCACCUAUGUCAACUUGAAAACUGAUACACCUCUAAAUAAGUACAACAUAGUGAGUCUUUGCUUCAGUAUUUGAAGGGAAGCUGAUUCCUUGGGUAACCACCUAAUGAAGUCCCUGGCAUGCAGUUAGGAACCAGGUUGCACGAAAAGAACUAGAACAAAUUUUAAACACUAGAACAAAAACUCUGAGGAGUCUCAGAGUCAGCAAUUCUAACUCUAUGAGAAGCAAGAGUGAACUUGAGACCAACUAAAUAAAGGAUGAGCAGAUUCAGGUCUCCCAUUGCCCAUUCGUUACGGAAAAAUAAAGAAAUAACAACCAAAAAAUAAGUCAAAAAUUAUAGGUCAUAAUUAUUUAGUGUUUAUUAUGUUCAGUAUGUUCAAGCAUCCAAGUUUUUACUAAAUUAUUAAUUUACUAAAUUAUUUAUUAAAUAUAUAUUAACACAGUAAUUAAAUACUAUGUUACUAUUACUAUUGAAUGGGUCAACUUGUUUUCCUCUAUUUUUUCUUUAGAAAAUUUAGUUUGGUGUCCCAGGAAGGACAGCGAUCCCUGGUGUUUGGAAGCAAUGAUGUAGAAAGACUAGAAGCCGUGGAUUUCUAGAAGCAUGCUCUCACCUCACCCCUUACAUAGGAGCACAGAUUGAUUCAUGCAGAGAGAAGCCUCUACUAGGUUCAACAGGACCAGUCAAGUGGAAUCUUUAGAGAGCCAGAUAAUUUUUAAGAUAAUACAACAUUAGACCUGGGUGGGAAGUUAAGAUGUUAAGUGACAGAGCUAUUAAGAUACAUUUGGGAGUUCCCUGGUGGCUCAGUGGUUAAAGAUCCAGUGCUGUCACUGCGAUGGCAGGUUUGAUCCCUGCCGAGGAACUUCCGUGUUUUCUGGGUGUAGCCAAAAAAUAUAGAUAUGAAUUGAUCAGUUAGAAAACUUAUGUGAUCAUAGUAACAGAUGUUGAAAGUAAUUUGAUUAAAAUAACUACUAAUUUAAAAGAAGAGAAAUAAGAAUGGGCACUUGCCUAUUACAAUUAAAAUGUAUUAUAAAAAAAGUGUAUCAUUGUUUAAAAUGCAGCACCAAAGAAGGAAUAAACAGACUCAUGGAGUGGAAUACACAGCCCAUUAAAAAAAGUGUGUUCGUACGGAUAAUCAUUUGUAGUAACACUUAUUCUCCAAAAGAAGAUACAGAUUAAAUUGAGCUAAAUUUUUAUAAACUGGAAAAUAUAGAUAAAAUAUAAAUUGAUAUUAUUAGGUCUGUUUAAGAGGGGCAUUUUAAUUUUGCAAUUGUGAUAGAAAUUACAAAAGAAAAUAUCUACAAUAUAAAAUCUGGUAACCACAAGGCAAUAAGUACAGUGUCAAAGGUCUAUUCUCUCCUUUUCACUAACAUAGAUCCAAUUUUGUUAAAGUAGCAAUGUAUCCAACUAAAAAGCCUGCUUUAGAUAUCUUUGCAGCAAGGGUGGCAAUGCAGUAAGUUUGCACAGAAGAAUUAUAUUAGAGGUUACCUUUUUUCUUGUGAAAAAAGAGACAAACUGCAGCUAGCGUCGUGCUUUGUCCAGAGCCCUCAGAAAACCUUUAUCUGCCCCUUGCGCCCUGCCCUCAUUUCUGUGCAUUCUGAUCCUCACAGCUGGCACCUGUUACUUUCUUCCAACAGCCACCUUUGGGUUGCUCGCUAGAGCCUCUCUGCUCAGAUGUUCACAGCCCCCACCAACUGGGGCAGAAGUCUGCUCUUGGAGACAGAGAGGUCUCUGACUUAAUUCAUGCUGUGUUCUCCUUGAGUUCAGGCCCAAGCACUCCCUUGCUUGGCUUUAGAGUCUUCUCUGUGCUGCUUCUCUUACUCUACUCAUUUACUGAAUUCACCUAGAAUUAUUUCCUUAGUAAAUCACUAACAUGUGAAUGAAUCUGCUUCUGGGGAAUCUGACUUAAGACAUGCUCCCGUCUAUCUUUCGGUCCUUUGCCCUGCACACUGCCACCAUUUUACCUCCUGGAGUAUAAAUGCUUGGAGAAAUGCCUGGAGUUUCAGCAGCCAUCUAGCAACCACAAGGCAAUAAGCACAGUGUCAAAGGUCCAUACUUUAGGGAUGAUACAGCAGAAAGAUGGAAAGAGCUUGAACACCUGAUUGUAUAAUCGAGUUGUCAUACUAGUCCUGGCCUGACACCCUUAGACUUAUUUUUGCAUAAGACAAGUAAACACCUUGUUUAUAUGCCUGGUGUAGUGUGUAGUAACGGCCCCCCAAAGAGGUCCACAUCCUAAGCCUUUGAACCUGUGGCUAUAUAGUGUUAAUAGUAAAGAGGAAUUAAGAGUACAGAUGGAAUUAAGGUUGCUAUUCUGCUAACCUUAAAGCAGGGAGAGUACUCCAGAUUAUCCAGGUGGGCCCAAUGGAAUCACAAGAGUCUACAAAAGCAGAAGUGGAAAGCAGAGACAGGAGUUACAGUAUGUGAGAAUGACUCAACCUGCCGUUGCUGGAAAAGUGGGCAGACUUUAGCAGCUGUCUCCUAGAGCCUCCAGAAGGGAAAACAGCCCUUUUUUUUUUUUUUGUCUUUUUAGGGUCACACCUGCAGUAUAUGGAGGUUCCCAGGCUAAGGGUCAAAUCAGAGUUGUAGGUGCUCACCACAGUCACAGCCACAUCAACGCCAGAUCCAAGUCGCGACUGUGAACUAUACCACAGCCACAGUAAUGCAGGAUCCUUAAUCCACUGAACGAGGCCAGGGAUCCAACGUGCAUCCUCAUGGCUAGUCAGGUUUGUUUCUGCUGAGCCAUGAGGGGAACUCCGAACACAGCACUUUUAACAUUCUGAUUUUAGCUCAGAGACACAUUUUGGACCUCUGACCUCCAGAACUACAGAAUACGCUUGUAUUGUUCAAGACACAAGUAUGUGGUAAUUAACUCUAGUACACUGGAAAAUGAAUACACCUGUCUAUACUUAACAUUUGCUGAGAGAGUAGAUCUUAAGCAUUCUCAUCCAAAAAAAGUAAAUCUAUGAGAUGACGGAGGUGUUAAUUAACUUGACUGUGGUAAUGAUAUAAUGUAUCAUAUGUCAAAUCAUCAUGUUGUACAUUUUAAACACAUACAAUUCUAUUUAUCAAUUAUACCUCAAUAAAGCUGGGGUGGCAGAAAACAAAUCACCUGCUUUUCUGUUACCUGCAGCCUAAUUCAGUCCUAAAUGAUACUCUUAAACUGAAACUGGUUUAUAUUUCUGAUAUAGAAAAAGCUUACAUAAUUCAAUAAAAACACUAAAUCUAAUAAAUUUAUGGGUAAAUAACACAUGUAAGACACAGAUGAGGACAUAAAGGUGCUAAGGAAUAACAUGGAAGUAGGUCUUCAUAAAAAUAUAUAAAAUAUUUUUAGGGAGUUCCAUUAUGGCUCAGCAGGUUAUGAACCUGACUAGUAUCCAUGAGGGUGUGGGUUUGAUCCCAGGCCUCACACAGUGCAUUAAGGAUCCAGCAUUACUGCAAGCUGUGGAGUAGGUAGCAGAUACACCUUGAUCCCGUGUUGGUGUGGUGUAGGCCAGCAGCUGUAGCUCCAAUUAGACCCUUAGCCUGGGAACUUCCAUAUGUCAAACGUCACUGUGUUAUAAUGUUGCAUAAAGAAGCAAAAUGGAGAGGUUAUAUUGCAUGUUUCCAACUAUAUAUAUAUAUUUUUUUUUUUCCCAGUGCUCCUGGUCUUUUUCUUCUCUUUUUAAUUAUUUCCCCAAUACAAUUUUUUUUUCUACUGUACAGCAUGGUGACCCAGUUACACAUACAUGUACACAUUCUAUUUUCACACAUUAUCAUGCUCCAUCGUAAGUGACUAGACAGAAUUCCCAGUGCUACACAGCAGGAUCUCACUGCGAAUCCAUUCCAACAACAAUAGUUUGCAUCUAUUAUCCCCAAGGUCCCAAUCCACCCCACUCCCUCCCCCUCCUGCUUGGAAACCACAGGUCUAUUCUCCAAGUCCAUGAUUUUCUUUUCUGUCGACAGGUUCAUCUGUGCCAUAUACUAGAUUCCAGAUAUAAGUGAUAUCAUAUGGUAUUUGUCUUUCUCUCUCUGACUUCACUCAGUAUGAGAGUCGCUAGUUCUAUCCAUGUUGCUGCAAACGGCAUUAUUUUGUUCUUUUUUAUGGCUGAGUAGUAUUCCAUUGUGUAUAUAUACCACAUCUUCCUAAUCCAAUCAUCUGUCAUACACAUUUGGGUUGUUUCCAUGUCUUGGCUAUUGUGAAUAGUGCUGCAAUGAACAUACGGGUGCAUGUGUCUUUUUUUAAGGAAAGUUUUGUCCGGAUAGAUGCCCAAGAGUGGGGUUGCUGGAUCAUAUGGUAGUUCUAUGUACAGCUAAGGUACCUCAAACUGUACUCCAUAGUGGUUGUACCAGCGUACAUUCCCACCAACAGUGCAGGAGUGUUCCCUUUUCUCCAAAACCCCUCCAGCACUUGUUAUUUGUGGACUUAUUAAUGAUGGCCAUUCUGACUG